rnacentral:rRNA from 1 species
ACGAACGCUGGCGGCGUGCUUAACACAUGCAAGUCGAACGGAAAGGCCCUGCUUUUGUGGGGUGCUCGAGUGGCGAACGGGUGAGUAACACGUGAGUAACCUGCCCUUGACUUUGGGAUAACUUCAGGAAACUGGGGCUAAUACCGGAUAGGAGCUCCUGCUGCAUGGUGGGGGUUGGAAAGUUUCGGCGGUUGGGGAUGGACUCGCGGCUUAUCAGCUUGUUGGUGGGGUAGUGGCUUACCAAGGCUUUGACGGGUAGCCGGCCUGAGAGGGUGACCGGCCACAUUGGGACUGAGAUACGGCCCAGACUCCUACGGGAGGCAGCAGCGGGGAAUAUUGCACAAUGGGCGGAAGCCUGAUGCAGCAACGCCGCGUGCGGGAUGACGGCCUUCGGGUUGUAAACCGCUUUCGCCUGUGACGAAGCGUGAGUGACGGUAAUGGGUAAAGAAGCACCGGCUAACUACGUG